rnacentral:lncRNA from 1 species
UUUUUUUUUUUUUUUUGAGAGAGAGAGAUAGGUAGCACGCUAUCCGUUUCGUUUAUUUUAUUUAGAAAUAAACUUAGCUNUUUUUGAGAGAGAGAGAUAGGUAGCACGCUAUCCGUUUCGUUUAUUUUAUUUAGAAAUAAACUUAGCUGGAAAUAUAAAUCAACUAGGAUUUGAGCUUGGAACCUCGGGUACCAACCAACAAAUCUUUUGCCACUUGCUCUAGAAACGAUCGGUGUAUUCAUCACUGUUGCAUAAAGGAGAAACAAUAAAUGACAAUUUUAGUAGAUAAAACCUAGAAUUCCUUUGAGCCAUUAAAUAACAAUUUUGAUAAGCACUAGUGUGGGGACAUAGUAUUGCCUGCUUCAAGGGGAAGUACUUCAUGAAUCCCUAUGACAUUUUGGAUUGCAUAUUUAAACUUGUUACGACAAACGCACGGAAAACGAAAAAUGGCGAAUACGAAACACUCAAACCACAAGCAAAAAAUAAAUAUAACAGACACAGAUUUACGUGAAAAAUUCUUUGCAGGGAAAAAACCACGGGCGGCCCGAGCCCUCCGCUACCCACCACAUACAUUCAUUUUUCCUUCACAAUUUAAUUUUUCAAUUUGGUCGCACCGCGAAGCUGUCGGCGAGUCGUAAACUUGAACCUAAGUCGAUAAUAAAUUUCGAGUCAUAUCUAACAAAACUAAUCAAAAUUUUUACUGAUAUACGUAUAUACACAUUAACAAUUUAUAAAGAUAAUAUUGUAACCGACCUGUAACUGUAAUUUUUUUUAAUAUAAUGUAUUGAAUAAUCUGACGUCCGACAGCAUUUGAGUCGAUUACAACUAGAUUCUCAGAUCUUUUAUCGCAUAUUUAUUUUUUUUUUCUUUUCUGCG